UACGUAGGGGGCAAGCGUUGUCCGGAUUUAUUGGGCGUAAAGAGCGUGUAGGCGGUUUGGUAGGUCCGCUGUGAAAACUCGAGGCUCAACCUCGAGACGCCGGUGGAAACCAUCAGGCUAGAGUCCGGAAGAGGAGAGUGGAAAUCCUGGUGUAGCGGUGAAAUGCGCAGAUAUCAGGAAGAACACCCGUGGCUAAGGCGGCUCUCUAGUACGGUACUGACGCUGAGACGCGAAAGCGUGGGGAGCGAACAGG
rnacentral:rRNA from 1 species